CAGCCAUCUUCUCUGAUCAACUAGCUCCAAAUCCUCAAUUCAAACCCUCUAAUAUGGAGGGCCUAAUACCAUAUGUCUACAAGGUCAUGGUUCAGUACAAGGCUGGAGGACAAUCAACAAUGGAAGGUAGCUCAUUUGGUGAAUCAACUAGUGCGCAUUACGUAAGACUUCCAGGCGAUUCAGGACGGUUCAAUCCAUCAAGCAUCCAACUUUUUCUUCCAGAAUAUGUUCGUUCUUCGUCAGCCUCCGCGACGCAUCCAACACUUACUUCUCAACUACUUGCCAUUACAGGAAGCCAAUCCCCUGCCCAUCUUCCUGCCUCUCAUCGAUUCUUUUCAUAUUUUGAACAGCAGUGAUAUCAGUAUUCACUCAGUAAUAUGCCAAAUGAAGCAAAGUUGAUGACUAUUUUCUGUUUGUUAUGUGUGAAUACAUGAAAAAAGAAAAGUCCAUUGCCCAUACUUGCUGUCAGGUGACUUAAACUGCAAUCUAGCAAUUCAAAACCAAAGCAUCAGUAAGAGAUGCCAAAGAGGCAUUACAUUUUGUGCAUUGAGUAUUGCAUCAGGUCAAUAAAUGUAAUAUAAAUCAGAAAUUAUGAGCCAGUAUAAGGGGAUUAAAGUUUCAGAUUUUUCUGAGGAUCUGAUUCCAUGCUAGACCUGUAGCAUUACAGCAGUUAAUUUCACAAUGAAACAUAAAAACCAUCCAAACAAUUUUAUGGAACACAUGCGAU
rnacentral:misc_RNA from 1 species